rnacentral:rRNA from 1 species
GCAGUCGACGGUAACAGGCCGCAAGGUGCUGACGAGUGGCGAACGGGUGAGUAAUGCAUCGGAACGUGCCCAGUCGUGGGGGAUAACGCAGCGAAAGCUGCGCUAAUACCGCAUACGAUCUAUGGAUGAAAGCGGGGGACCAUAAGGCCUCGCGCGAUUGGAGCGGCCGAUGUCAGAUUAGGUAGUUGGUGGGGUAAAGGCUCACCAAGCCAACGAUCUGUAGCUGGUCUGAGAGGACGACCAGCCACACUGGGACUGAGACACGGCCCAGACUCCUACGGGAGGCAGCAGUGGGGAAUUUUGGACAAUGGGCGCAAGCCUGAUCCAGCAAUGCCGCGUGCAGGAAGAAGGCCUUCGGGUUGUAAACUGCUUUUGUACGGAACGAAACGGUCUGGGUUAAUACCUCGGGCUAAUGACGGUACCGUAAGAAUAAGCACCGGCUAACUACGUGCCAGCAGCCGCGGUAAUACGUAGGGUGCAAGCGUUAAUCGGAAUUACUGGGCGUAAAGCGUGCGCAGGCGGUUUUGUAAGACAGGCGUGAAAUCCCCGGGCUCAACCUGGGAAUGGCGCUUGUGACUGCAAGGCUGGAGUGCGGCAGAGGGGGAUGGAAUUCCGCGUGUAGCAGUGAAAUGCGUAGAUAUGCGGAGGAA